UUACAAGUCUAAAAGUGAACAUACACUACAGAAACCUAAGAAUCUCCCCUUAUCUUGCUGAUAGAAGCAUAUAUUAACUCUCUGUAUACCUCCUAAAUUUGGCCAUGUUUGAUUAAAGCCUAUAUUAGAGGGGACAGCAUUGAGUUAAUUUUCAGUCAGAGCAAAGCAUUACAGCUUUUGUAUCUACUCGGAUUAUACUUUUUUGUUUUGGCUUUGAGAUAGGUGUUUAUGUCUAUUGCUCCUUUCAACAUCCAGUUUAUAUCAACAUUCAAAACCCUUUGUUUUUAAUGGGAAUAUUUGGUACCUCCUUUUAUAUGGCUUCCUAAAAAAGAAAUUGAAGUCAGAAGCUGUGAUUUUUUCCAGUGCACCCAGUCGUCGAGAUAGGGUACAGUGUGAAUCCCUAAUCAUCUUAGACUGGCUGUAAGAGUUACAAAUCGCUUCAUUUGUUGCAGAGUGCAGCC